AUCCACUACACAGCAAAGGAAGGAGCAAAGGGCUUUGCAAACUGGAAAAAAGGACAAGACGAAAGCACAGAUGAGAUGGGAGAGAGCUUUGCCCUAUAUUCCUGUGAUUUCACAACUCACCCACCUGACCCGCAGAGAAUUCCUCCAGGAAGUGAAAAGUAUCUCUUUAAAGGAUGUUCUUCUCUGAAUAGAGAAUGCCCAGCCAUCUACCAGUUCUUCCCUCAGCAUGUGAGAGACUGCAGCCCAGAAUGAGAACAGGAGGCCUGUCACAGCAGGAAUGGUGAAUAGGGAACUUUUCAGUCUGAAGGAACAGUGACAACCAUUGAUGGAACAUAAAGAAUUCCUACUUUGUGAACCACAUAGGAGAAGAUUCAUAGUCAAAUCACUGACACAGACAGCACCACAGUUUUCAUCUAGAGGAGGCCCUGCA